rnacentral:rRNA from 1 species
GACGAACGCUGGCGGCGUGCCUAAUACAUGCAAGUAGAACGCUGAAGGAGGAGCUUGCUUCUCUGGAUGAGUUGCGAACGGGUGAGUAACGCGUAGGUAACCUGCCUGGUAGCGGGGGAUAACUAUUGGAAACGAUAGCUAAUACCGCAUAAGAGUAGAUGUUGCAUGACAUUUGCUUAAAAGGUGCAAUUGCAUCACUACCAGAUGGACCUGCGUUGUAUUAGCUAGUUGGUGAGGUAACGGCUCACCAAGGCGACGAUACAUAGCCGACCUGAGAGGGGGACAGGCGAGAGUGGGAAUGGGAUGAGGCACGGAGUCGUACGGGAGGCAGUGGUGGGGAAUAGUGCAAAAUGGGCGGAAGGAUGAUGCAGCAAGGCCGGGUGAGGGAUGACGGACGUCGGGUUGGAAACAGCUGUCGCCUGUGACGAAGCGUGAGGGACGGUAAUGGGUAAAGAAGCAACGGCUAACUACGUG